GUCGAGCGGACAGAUGGGAGCUUGCUCCCUGAUGUUAGCGGCGGACGGGUGAGUAACACGUGGGUAACCUGCCUGUAAGACUGGGAUAACUCCGGGAAACCGGGGCUAAUACCGGAUGGUUGUUUGAACCGCAUGGUUCAAACAUAAAAGGUGGCUUCGGCUACCACUUACAGAUGGACCCGCGGCGCAUUAGCUAGUUGGUGAGGUAAUGGCUCACCAAGGCAACGAUGCGUAGCCGACCUGAGAGGGUGAUCGGCCACACUGGGACUGAGACACGGCCCAGACUCCUACGGGAGGCAGCAGUAGGGAAUCUUCCGCAAUGGACGAAAGUCUGACGGAGCAACGCCGCGUGAGUGAUGAAGGUUUUCGGAUCGUAAAGCUCUGUUGUUAGGGAAGAACAAGUACCGUUCGAAUAGGGCGGUACCUUGACGGUACCUAACCAGAAAGCCACGGCUAACUACGUGCCAGCAGCCGCGGUAAUACGUAGGUGGCAAGCGUUGUCCGGAAUUAUUGGGCGUAAAGGGCUCGCAGGCGGUUUCUUAAGUCUGAUGUGAAAGCCCCCGGCUCAACCGGGGAGGGUCAUUGGAAACUGGGGAACUUGAGUGCAGAAGAGGAGAGUGGAAUUCCACGUGUAGCGGUGAAAUGCGUAGAGAUGUGGAGGAACACCAGUGGCGAAGGCGACUCUCUGGUCUGUAACUGACGCUGAGGAGCGAAAGCGUGGGGAGCGAACAGGAUUAGAUACCCUGGUAGUCCACGCCGUAAACGAUGAGUGCUAAGUGUUAGGGGGUUUCCGCCCCUUAGUGCUGCAGCUAACGCAUUAAGCACUCCGCCUGGGGAGUACGGUCGCGAGACUGAAACUCAAAGGAAUUGACGGGGCCCGCACAACCGUGGAGCAUGUGGUUUAAUUCAAAGCACGCGGAAAGAACUUUACCA
rnacentral:rRNA from 1 species